GCGUUUCUGGGCCGGAGGCGCCGCCGCCGCCGCGCUUCUCUCCGCAGCGCAGACGCGCAUGAGAAGGCAGCCGCCUGCUCCCUCUUCCGCGCGGGGACCUUCUGCGGCCGGCAGUGCCGUCAUGUCGGAAAGGCUCAGUAAGCCUACGUGCCUCAUUGUGGCCAGCGCGGCCGCUGCAGGGGUAUCUGCUGACUCCUUCCUUCAUUCGUUUACACUGGCAAGUUCUGCUUUCAAUCUGCAGGUUGCUACUCCAGGGGGAAAGUCAAUUGAUUUUACUGGUGUUAAUGAGACGAACAUGCGUUGGAUCCAGGACUUCCGUAUGAAAUCCUAUGCAAAUCCUGCUAAGCUGGAAUCAACUGAUGGGGCCAGAUAUCAUGCUGUACUGAUUCCUGACUGUCCUGGUGCUAUGACAGACCUGGCAAACAGUGGUUACUUAGCCAGAAUAUUGCAACAUUUCAGCUCUGAGAAAAAGCCCAUUUGUGCUGUUGGACAUGGAGUUGCUGCCUUAUGCUGUGCCACAAAUGAGGACAAGUCCUGGGUAUUUCAAGAAUACAGCUUAACGGGGCCCUGUGUCUAUGAACUAAUAAGGCUACCUAAUUUUACUAGUUUGCCCAUUAUCUUUGAGGAUUUUGCGAAAGAUUCUGGAGCUGCUUUCAGUGGUAUGUCACUUUAAGAUUCCUGCCAUAGCUUUUUUUAAAACUGAUAUUUGAUCACCAUGAGCAAGAUGACAAAGGAUUGGUCAUACUGAAUUCUGGUAAAGUCUGACACUUUGCAAGAUGAAUUGGCAUUUUAAAAGUUUUGCAAAAUAAUUUUUCAUAGCAUGUAAUGGUAAAAAUGAUACACAAGGAAUACAAAGUUGGGUUUAUAGAUCUGGUGAAAACAUCUUCCAUGCCCUGGGGCCAUCUGUUAAUGUCACAGCAAAAUAUGGCAGCACUAAUAUGGAAGCCAUAUUAGUUCAGCAUUCUGCCAGUUUAGUGGAAUGACUUAGAUUAUUCCUGAUUAAAUCUAGGGAGCAUAAUUCUGGUAAUGUUGCCUCUGACCUUUCCAGCAAUAAAAUAGGGAAGGAGGUAGGUAAUCUGGUACUGUCCAGAUGUUGGGCUACAACUCCCAUCAUCCUUUGCCAUCAGUCGUGCUGGAUGGGGCUGGUGAGAAUUGUAGUCCCCAAUUCUGGAGGGCACUAGGUUGCUCACCUUGUGAUAGGUAUGGAAAAGCUGCUCAAAUGCUUGAAGAUGACUUGGUGGAGAGCCCUCUAGUGGCCAUUGUAACAUGUAUACAUUUGGGUUAAUUGUGGUCCAUAUAUCAUGAAAUAGCACAGCUUCGCAGCAUUGAAUUGAGUGGUAUUUUAAAAUAGAUGCUAAUUUUGUGUCAGUAGCUUUAUAUGUUGAUGCACAAAUAUUACAUGACUUUGCCUACAGGCAUCUUCUUUGUGUUUGAGCAGCUACUAAGACUUGAUUCAGAUUAUCACAGUUCUAUUGCAUGGUUUGUGUCAUCUUCCCCAACCUGGUGCUUUGCACUUCAGUACCCAUCAGUCCCUCACCAUCAUGUCCAAUAUCCUGGUGCUUCCUUGCCAUAUGCUUUGGACUUCAGCACCCAUCUGUCCCCAGCAUCAUGGCCAAAGGUCAAGAAUGCUGAGUUGUAAUCCAAAACAUUUGGAGUGCAUCAUGUUAGGAGGAAUCUGGUUUAGGUUAUUACAAAUAUGCAUGGCAAGCCUUAGGUUCAACCUUCUCCCAAGGCUCCAUCAACAAGACAAAAGAUUAAACCACAUAGGAAGCUUUCACUGCUCCCCUGUACCCAAAGGGGAGUGGAAGUGUGCAAGCCUAAGGUUCAGUGUGGUUCAGCUGUGCUCAUCUAAACUACCCUUUCCACAGCCUCAUGUCCUUCAGGUAUGCUAGACUCCAAGUGUUCUUAGGAAGGGUGGCCAGUGGAUGAGGAUGGUGGGUAUUUUAAUGAAUAGAGUAUUCAUUGUAAUAAUAGUGGGCUGUACAAAUUCUAAAGAAUUAAAAAGUUUGAAAGCAAAAUAUAUUUAUCCUGUUAGGGAAAUGAAGGAGUUUUAAAUCACUGAUUAUGAGCAGCAGUGAAGAAAACAUGCAGCUUUAUUUGGGUAUUAGAGAAACAAGCAGAAAAUGAUGGAAGAAGCUAUGUAAAUGGAUGAAUACAGACUUGUUUGGCUUGAGAGAUGGGACAUGAGAACUUUCGUGGCAACUUGUGGAAGAGAAUGCCAGUAUAUUCUAAAGAUGAGACUAUUAAUACUUUGAAAAAGAGCAUCUUGAUGGGCUGGUUUAUAUGAUCAAGCAACUGCUGGGACUUCUUAUUGCAGCAUGGGAAGGCAGCAUCUUUGAAUAUUCAAGCUGUUCCUUGUCAGGUAAUCCAUACCUAAGAACUAUGGGGUAUGUUAAGAUUAAACCACCCCUCAGAUAACCUUAGAAUAGGCAACAGGUUGCGAAGGUCAUUUAAUUCUCAGCUUCCUGGUUGACAAUAACAUGACAAGUUGCGGCCUGAAUAUUCAGAAUGGCCAAUAGUCAUGAUGAGCUAAAGUGAUCAUGCAAACCAGGGGGCAUCGAUGGAGGGGCUGUCACUGGUAGCAGCAUGGGCAAGUUUGUUUCAGUGUGCGAAACCUGAAAACUGCAGAACCACAGUAAUGGUUUUUUUCUUUUGAAAUGUACAUCUGUAAUACAGACCCUUAAGCCCGGUUAAGUCAUAACAAGGACCCAUGAAAUUGAAAUUCCGUUCCAAGAAGCAGAUGUGCCAGUGUUAUUGAAAGGCACAAUUCCCCAUGUGCCUUCAGAAUCUGCCCAGUGGGCAGAGAUGUCCUCUGGAGCAGAUUUUGGGUGAUCCAGGGUCUAAGAAGGGUCCUGUCCUGUUGGAUUCUGCUAGUAUCAAGUUGUUAAAUUUGCCUACACAUUUGCACAACAGAGGAAGCGAUGGGAAAUUUAAGUGGAAGCUUUCAAAUCAGGCAGUCCUCUGCAGUGUUUCAACUUGUUUAGCUAGAUUCCCAUUCUGUGUGAACUUGACUUAGCUGUCAUCCAUGAUAGCGUCUGUGUGGCACUUGUUUGCAUGUGUGGUAAUCUAACUUUUAAACAAUGUUAUGGAAAAAAAUGUUAGUUUCAGUGCUACAUUUUCAGCUAGUUUUGAGUUAGAUUUCAGCCUCUGAUACAGUAUUAAAAUUAUUUGCAGUCUAUAGUAAGCUUCAGUCCAGUCUCAAACUAGUCUCUUUUGAGACCUUUUCAAUAAGGGUUUUUUAAGGAACUAGAAUGAUUAAAUACAAAGUUAUUUUAGGGCAGGUUGGCUUACUGAGCUUUCCUCUCCACCACCCAAAAUUGUAUUUUCGUUCAAGCAUGUUUAUAACCUCCCACAGGAUUGUUAUAAUACAACAAUUGCAGUAAGUACUACAGGAAAAAAAUUAUGGAAUUUAUUCAUUUAUUAUAUAAUUUCCCAUUUUGCUUUUGAAAUAGAAAAUCAUAGGCAAAAUGAAGGCUUCUUACUAACAGUGUUUAAACUAAAAUCUACAAGCCCCAUUACUUGCCAUAACCUGCCUGUUAAAAAAAGGAAAAAAAGUUGUAGAACUCCUUCUCCCUUUAUGUUUAUGUUGUUCAGGAUGCUUGUGUGUGCAUUUUGAAAGGGAAAUAUCCUAUAAAUUUAGGCACACCCAACAGAAUUUUCCAGAAAAGCGUUAACAACAAAAUUUAGCACAGAUAAGACAGAAUGGGUUACGCCUUUGCUCAGUCAAUAUUCUUGCCCUUUGUUUCAAUGCUAUGACGAAACAUUAAAGAAAAACCUCUAUCUUCA